CUUUUUUUUUUAAACAAAAUCUAGGUCCAUAUUUGUCCAAUUAAAAGGAGAUGCAGGAGAAAAACUAAGAAAUUUCCUUAGUUAUAAAAUAGCAUGUCCAUGUUUAUGGUGAAUUGUGUAAGGCUGCAAGAACAAAUCGAGUUUUAAUUUACAAAAGAAAAUAUAUUGGGUUUAGGGCGGCGGAGGAACUCGAUAAAAGUUGUGCUUAGAGAACCGCUGUAUCAAUGCGCUCAACACUGCGGCAAAUCAAGAACAUUCUGUGGUCCAAGUGCAACUUUGUUUGCCUCUCGGCGGCUCUCUAUGAGAAGAGGUUGACAUCAUCGGCCCUGAUGAGCCGGCAGUGUGUGCUCAGUGCACCCCAGUUCAGUGUGGGAGUUUACCAUCAUUCCCUAUUUGCCUACUGCACUGCUUGGCUGUUGCCUUGGGAAAAAAAACUCUGUGUGGAGUGAUGUCAUGGCUAUGUCUUCAGCAAUUGCAUCUGACAUGCUUUAUCUUUGUGCAUGCCUGCUCCUGACCAGGCUAGGAUAGUCAUCUUUCUUUCGGUGUGCCAGCGUCACUUUCCAACACGUCAGUCUUUUCACACUGAGUUAUUUUAGGCAAUAAAACAAGCCCGCUGUACCUUAUUUCUGUUUGUUUAUUUUUUUUGGACAAUACUUGAAAAAAAUAAUGGAGCAGAAUAAUGUGGGUUAUAUAAUAGUCUGUAAUAUUUGAUGUUUAUAUGUAAUGUAUUUUAAUUCCUAGGAAAUUUAUGUUGCAUCUAAUAAUUUAGAUGUAUUUUUUUUAUUGUAAAAAAAAAAAAAAGAUCCAGGGGUGUAAAUUUCUGAACAGGAUAAUCAAUGUAAAUAGCUUUUUUGUCUUCUGGAAAGUAUGUAAAUAUUUUAUGUAGUUUCUGAAGGGCAGUACUAAAUAAAAAAAAAUCCUUUCAAAAGUUUACA